rnacentral:rRNA from 1 species
UACAGAGGUCUCAAGCGGUGUUCGGAUUCAUUGGGCGUAAAGGGUGUGUAGGUGGCGCCGUAAGUCGGGUGUGAAAUCUCGGGGCUUAACUCCGAAACUGCAUUCGAUACUGCGGUGCUUGAGGACUGGAGAGGAGACUGGAAUUCAUGGUGUAGCAGUGAAAUGCGUAGAGAUCAUGAGGAAGACCAGUGGCGAAGGCGGGUCUCUGGACAGUUCCUGACACUGAGACACGAAGGCCAGGGGAGCAAACGGG